ACCUGGCUGGCUCAGUAGAAAGAGCAUAGGACUCUUGAUCUCAGGGUUGUGAGUUCGAGCCCCACAUUAGGUU
rnacentral:tRNA from 1 species